rnacentral:pre_miRNA from 1 species
CAAGUACUCCCUCCGUUCCGAAUUACUUGUCUUGGAUUUGUUUAGAUACGGAUGUAUCUAGACUCAUUUUAGUGCUAGAUACCUCCGUAUCUAGAUAAAUCCAAGACAAGUAAUUCGGAACGGAGGAAGUAGUUG